GUUAUAGAUACAGCCUACAUAUGUUGUGCUACUGGACAAUGAAGAUUGUUUCAUGGUAGAUGGAUCCCACAUCGGAAUGUUUAGCAUGUAUGUAUUUGAUACAGCCAAAAUAUGUUAUACUACUAGACAAUGAAGAUGCUUUCAUGGUAUACAACACUUGAGGAGUAUUGACAUAUGCAGCCUAUUUAUGUUACUCCUCUCCAAUGAAGAUAGUUUCAUUGUAGAUAGUGCAUUAGGAUACGUCACAUAUCCAGCCUAAAUAUGUUGGCACUCCUUUACCAUGAAAGAUGCUUGCAUUGUAGAUAACACAUAAGAAUAAGUGACAUAUACAGCCUCAAUAUGUAACACUCCUUUACCAUGAAAGCAUAUUGGGACAAGUUGCAUAUUCAACUUAAAACAGAUGAUGGUUCAGUCGUAUCAGGUGCAGCAUGACAGCCAAACGGUUGAACUGAUUAUUGUGAUGAGACAGUUUAUUGCUUUGGAAAAUCUAAUUAUAUAGUUUAUAGAUUUAGAUAAUAAAAUUCUGUAAUGUUCAUAAUAUCGGAUGAUAAUUUGUUAAGUGCCCUCAAUAUGUCUUCAACGAGAUAUUAACAUGCACAAUUAAAGAUGUACUGUACAAAAUCUUCAACAUUCUUAUUCAUAAAAGUAGUUUCUGAUUCUCAAUUUUAUAAGAUAUAUACAUAUUUACCUGAAUUUAUUUUUAAGGUAAUUGUAACAAUAUGACUGUAUUUAGAUUGUUUGAAAUUCAAGUUGAGUUUCAAUUAUUUCUUUUCAAAAUAUAUAUAUCACAUUCUUCUGGUUUCAAUUUUUGAAAUUUAAAAAUGAAUUAUAGCCAAACCAUCAAUUAAACAGUGGUGUUGGUUGAAGUUAAUACCAGCUCUUCAUAGUAUCUUAAAAUGCCUAAAAUGGAAACAAUGUUUAAAUUUAACAAGUUACCAUAUUUACUGAUGAAGAAAUUAGAAUAUUAUGUAUGUUCCUUUUUUGUACAAAUGGACAUCUUUUGAGUAAUUGAUUGGAACACCCAAACAAUAUUUUAAUCAUUUGGGUUUGUUUCUUGUAUAUCCAUCAUUGAUUUUGUAAGAUAAAAAUAAAAAAAAGUCAUUUUGUUAAAAUAAUUUCUCAUUUUUAUCAACACAAAUAAAAUUCUAUUAAACUAAUAGUUUAGUUCAUGCUUCUUUAAUCUAUAUCUUAAAAGUUUUGUGGUGGACUAAGAAAAUAUCAAAUGAUCAUUUCAGAAAUACACUUGAUUGCAGCGCUGCAUCUUCACUAACAUUUAACAUAGUUGGUUCUGGGUUUCUGAGCUAGUUCUUGUUGGUGUGUUUCUGUGUUUUUUCUAUAGAGGAAUCGGCGGUUUCUAAGUCUUCAGGAUAUGGUUUUGUCAUUCAAAGGGAACUCGCAAUCUUGCAAUGUAAUUCUGAAAUGAUAUACAUUUGAUAUUUUAUUUUCAUUGAAAAAGAAACAUUAUUUAAUUUGCUGCAUGAACAUUUGAACUAUUUAAACUUUAUAAUUCAUAAUUUUUGGAAAUAGAAUUCCAAUCGUACCCGACACAGUUUGGAAAUAAAAUUCAAAUUGUAACUGACACAUUUUGGAAAUAAAAUUAAAAUUGUAACUGACACAUUUUGGAAAUAGAAUUCAAAUUGUAACCGACAGUUUGAAAAUAGAAUUCAAAUUGUAACUGACAGAUUUUGGAAAUCGAAUUCAAAUUGUAACUGACCCAUGUUGGAAAUCGAAUUCAAAUUGUAACUGACACAGUUUGGAAAUAAAAUUCAAAUUGUUACUGACACAUUUUGGAAAUAAAAUUCAAAUUGUAACUAACACAUUUUGGAAAAAUUUUAACUAACACAUUUUGGAAAUAAAAUUCAAAUUGUAACUGACCCAUUUUGGAAAUAAAAUUCAAAUUGUAACCGACACAUUUUGGAAAUAAAUUCAAAUUGUAACUGACACAUUUUGGAAAUAAAAUUCAAAUUGUAACUGACCCAUUUUGGAAAUUAAAUUCAAAUUUUAACUGACGCAUUUUGGAAAUCAAAUUCAAAUUGUAACUGACACAUUUUGGAAAUAAAAUUUAAAUGGUAAUUGACCCAUUUUGGAAAUAGAAUUCAAAUUGUAACUGACACAUUUUGGAAAUAGAGGUCAAAUUGUUACGGACACAUUUUGGAAAUUGAAUUCAAAUUGUAACUGACACUUUGGGAAUAGAAUUCAAAUUGUAACUAACACAUUUUGAUGGAUAGAAUUUUAAAAACAAAAAAAUGUAUGUAGUUAAUUUAAGCACAAGUGAAAACAUAAUUCCAAAAUUUAAAUUUUUGCUUCAUUUGGUAAAUUGGAUUGCAAAAUCACUGAUGGCUUACAAGGUUAAUUCCCUUAUGAGUUAGAUAAUGAAGUAUAGUCUAGUGGACCCUGUAGACAUCCUACUAAAUGUAUUGAUAUAUUAAAAGUUUGUUUAUAUCUCAAUAAAAAUUUGUACAUGCCUCGCACAAAAUGGUGCAAGCAGAGUUGCAUGUACUGGACAGAGUCGGCUAUCAACUUUUAUAUAACAAAACCAUUUCACAAUCAAUAUUUGUAAAUGCCUCACACAUAAAGGUGCAAGCAGAGUUGCAUGUACUGGACAUUGUCAGUAUUUUUAUAACAAAACCACAGAACUGGUAUCCAGGAAAUUGAAAUGAAUCAACAAUACUGUCAUUUAUGUUUUACAAUAAUAUAUUUCUCAUUACACCUUACUUAAGAUUUAAAGAUGUACUACAGUGUCAUAACACUACAAGUUACAAUAUAUUUAUAAACUGUCACUUAGUAAUUUUGUAUCAUGAUGCAGAUGUUCGUCAUCAUAUUAUUUUAAACAUGGUGCAUUACUUUUUAAGAGUUUUCUUUAUGUAUUAUGACGUAUGCUAUUUUUACUAAACUUGUAUUCAUGUUUAUUAUGUUGAUGAAAAUAAAAUAUGAUG